rnacentral:rRNA from 1 species
GGCGAACGCUGGCGGCGUGCUUAACACAUGCAAGUCGAACGGAAAGGCCCUGCUUUUGUGGGGUGCUCGAGUGGCGAACGGGUGAGUAACACGUGAGUAACCUGCCCUUGACUUUGGGAUAACUUCAGGAAACUGGGGCUAAUACCGGAUAGGAGCUCCUGCUGCAUGGUGGGGGUUGGAAAGUUUCGGCGGUUGGGGCUGGACUCGCGGCUUAUCAGCUUGUUGGUGGGGUAGUGGCUUACCCAGGCUUUGACGGGUAGCCGGCCUGGGAGGGUGACCGGCCACAUUGGGACUGAGAUACGGCCCAGACUCCUACGGGAGGGAGCAGUGGGGAAUAUUGCACAAUGGGCGGAAGCCUGAUGCAGCAACGCCGCGUGCGGGAUGACGGCCUUCGGGUUGUAAACCGCAUUCGCCUGUGACGAAGCGUGAGUGACGGUAAUGGGUAAAGAAGCACCGGCUAAAUACGUG